rnacentral:tRNA from 1 species
GGGAGCAGAAAGGUGCCUGGUGGUCCUCCCGGUCUUCAAAACCGUGGUGACUCGCAAGGGUCAGGUGGGUUCGAUUCCCAUGUGCUCCCGCCA